rnacentral:rRNA from 1 species
UACGUAGGGGGCAAGCGUUGUCCGGAUUUAUUGGGCGUAAAGAGCGUGUAGGCGGCUAGAUAGGUCCGUUGUGAAAACUCGAGGCUCAACCUCGAGACGCCGGUGGAAACCAUCUAGCUAGAGUCCGGAAGAGGAGAGUGGAAUUCCUGGUGUAGCGGUGAAAUGCGCAGAUAUCAGGAAGAACACCCGUGGCGAAGGCGGCUCUCUGGUACGUGACUGACGCUGAGGAGCGAAAGCGUGGGGAGCGAACAGG